GUAUGGGGAGCUUUUGGGAUAGCAUUGGAAAUGUAAAUGAAGAAAAUAUCUAAUUAAAAAAAUAAAAAUAAACCUUAAUUUAAACAAAUAAAAAUAAAAAAAUAAAACUGGCAUCAUGCUGAUAAGUCUUAUGUGGUGACAGUCUAUAUCUUAGCCAUCCUUUUAUUCCCACAGAAUCAUCAGAGUGAACCCAGUAUUUACUGGUUCAUGUGGAUAUGAUUAUCACAUGCAAAUCAUAUGCAAAUGAUAUCAACAUGGAUUGCUCACUGGAGCCUCAUUGUGUGGAGUAUUAAUAGUGUGAACGAGUUCCUUGGCCAAGAGAGACGUUCUAGUGACUUGGGAGAAUGGCUGGUUUUAAAAUGUACAAAAGAGGAAACCUCAAAUAUGAGUCUGUGUGAUAAGUAUAUUGAAAUUACCUUAGGAAAUAUUUCCCCUGUUG
rnacentral:lncRNA from 1 species